AUUGAACGCUGGCGGUAUGCCUAACACAUGCCAGUCGAACGGCAGCACAGUAAGAUCUUGCUCUUACGGGUGGCGAGUGGCGGACGGGUGAGAAAUACAUCGGAAUCUUCUUUUUCGUGGGGGAUAACGUAGGGAAACUUACGCUAAUACCGCAUACGACCUACGGGUGGAAGCAGUGGAUCUUCCGACCUUGCGCGUUUGAAUGAGCCGAUGUCGGAUUAGCUAGUUGGCGUGGUAAAGGCCCACCAAGGCGACGAUCCGUAGCUGGUCUGAGAGGAUGAUCAGCCACACUGGAACUGAGACACGGUCCAGACUCCUACGGGAGGCAGCAGUGGGGAAUAUUGGACAAUGGGCGAAAGCCUGAUCCAGCAAUACCGCGUGGGUGAAGAAGGCCUUCGGGUUGUAAAGCCCUUUUGUUGGGAAAGAAAAGCAGCAGGUUAAUACCCCGCUGUUCUGACGGUACCCAAAGAAUAAGCACCGGCUAACUUCGUG
rnacentral:rRNA from 1 species